GACGAACGCUGGCGGCGUGCUUAACACAUGCAAGUCGAACGAAGAGCGAUGGAAGCUUGCUUCUAUCAAUCUUAGUGGCGAACGGGUGAGUAACGCGUAAUCAACCUGCCCUUCAGAGGGGGACAACAGUUGGAAACGACUGCUAAUACCGCAUACGAUCUAACCUCGGCAUCGAGGAUAGAUGAAAGGUGGCCUCUACAUGUAAGCUAUCACUGAAGGAGGGGAUUGCGUCUGAUUAGCUAGUUGGAGGGGUAACGGCCCACCAAGGCGAUGAUCAGUAGCCGGUCUGAGAGGAUGAACGGCAAAAUUGGGACUGAGACACGGCCCAGACUCCUACGGGAGGCAGCAGUGGGGAAUCUUCCGCAAUGGAGGAAAGUCUGACGGAGCAACGCCGCGUGAGUGAUGACGGCCUUCGGGUUGUAAAGCUCUGUUAAUCGGGACGAAAGGCCUUCUUGCGAAUAGUUAGAAGGAUUGACGGUACCGGAAUAGAAAGCCACGGCUAACUACGUG
rnacentral:rRNA from 1 species